AGCGAACGCUGGCGGCAGGCUUAACACAUGCAAGUCGAGCGGGCCCUUCGGGGUCAGCGGCGGACGGGUGAGUAACGCGUGGGAACGUGCCUUCUGGUCUGGAAUAACCCUGGGAAACUAGGGCUAAUACCGGAUACGCCCUUUUGGGGAAAGGUUUACUGCCGGAAGAUCGGCCCGCGUCUGAUUAGCUAGUUGGGGGGGUAACGGCCUACCAAGGCGACGAUCAGUAGCUGGUCUGAGAGGAUGAUCAGCCACACUGGGACUGAGACACGGCCCAGACUCCUACGGGAGGCAGCAGUGGGGAAUAUUGGACAAUGGGCGCAAGCCUGAUCCAGCCAUGCCGCGUGAGUGAUGAAGGCCUUAGGGUUGUAAAGCUCUUUUAUCCGGGACGAUAAUGACGGUACCGGAGGAAUAAGCCCCGGCUAACUUCGUG
rnacentral:rRNA from 1 species